AUUGAACGCUGGCGGCAGGCCUAACACAUGCAAGUCGAGCGGAUGAAGGGAGCUUGCUCCUGGAUUCAGCGGCGGACGGGUGAGUAAUGCCUAGGAAUCUGCCUGGUAGUGGGGGAUAACGUCCGGAAACGGGCGCUAAUACCGCAUACGUCCUGAGGGAGAAAGUGGGGGAUCUUCGGACCUCACGCUAUCAGAUGAGCCUAGGUCGGGUUAGCUAGUUGGUGGGGUAAAGGCCUACCACGGCGACGAUCCGUAACUGGUCUGAGAGGAUGAUCAGUCACACUGGAACUGAGACACGGUCCAGACUCCGACGGGAGGCAGCAGUGGGGAAUAUUGGACAAUGGGCGAAAGCCUGAUCCAGCCAUGCCGCGUGUGUGAAGAAGGUCUUCGGAUUGUAAAGCACUUUAAGUUGGGAGGAAGGGCAGUAAGUUAAUACCUUGCUGUUUUGACGUUACCAACAGAAUAAGCACCGGCUAACUUCGUG
rnacentral:rRNA from 1 species